GCGGCGGUGGCUCAGUGGUAGAGAGCUCGCUUCGCAUGCGGGGAGACCUGGGUUUGAUUCCCGGUUGUUUCC
rnacentral:tRNA from 1 species